AGUUUGUUAUAACUACUUCUUAACAAACCUCCUAUUACAUUCCACCCUCCUUAAAACAAAACUUCCAUACAAGUUUUGAUCAAUCAAUUCAAUCAUUACAAACAGAUUGCUUAUCUAAGAAUGUUCAAUGAUUUACAAAAUUCUUAAGGAAUUACAAAAGAGGGGAACCGUUUUUCAAAUUCUUCUACAAACUCCCAUGUAGCUUCUUCUGUAGACAUUCCUUCCCACUGGACAAGUGUAACACCUCGAUUUUUGAAACAGUUUAUUAUCUAUUUUAUUAACUAUAUUAUAUAUUUUAGUUUAUUUAAUAAUUAAAUUCAUUUAUCUUUAGCAAUUAUUUUAUAAAUAAUUUAUUAUAUGCUUAUAGUGGGACAAGUUUAGUAAGUAAUUAAACUAGUAAUAGUAUUAAGAGGAAAUUUAUUCACAUGUAUGUAAGAAGGGGGAAAAGGGAAAAAAAUAAAACAAGAAAAGAAAACGGAAAGAAAAAAAAAACAAAACAACAGAAGAACGACAUUUCAUAACGCUUCACCACCGUUUAACCUCUUCAUCAUCUCCACCCUCUUCACCAUCUUCUUCUCUCAAAAUCUUUUACAUUCUUCCUUCAUCACAACCACCAUCGUUGCCGACGACACAACCACAGCCACUAGAGGUGACACCAUAGAAGUAGGCGGCGCAAGGAAGAAAAGUGGGGUCAUUGUUGCUGUAAUUUGGAGCAUUUGGUGCUCGAAUUAGGGGCGUUUGCAAGUUAUUUCUCAUCCCCAAUCAUCUAUAUUAGUGGAUUCCGGUUUCAUUGAGGAGCCGUAUUGACUGAGCUAGUUGGUUUGAUAUAGUUUAAAAGGUACAUGAAGGCUUAGAGUCGGGGUAUGGGCGGAGAGCAACGUCCACUAGUUUUGCGUAAAUAUAAUUAUAAUAGUUCUGUUCUGGUGCAUUUCUUAUAUAUAAUCAAUAUUUUGAGACUUAGGGUUGUAAAUAUUAAUCCACCUAAAUCUUUAUUCGGUUGGGUUGUAAUAGUUUAAAAUAAGCUUUAAUUUAGUUUUGGUGCAGGUAGUUCUUCCUUAGCGAUUAUUCUCGUAAUAAUCGUGGAAUAACACGUUUGGAUUUCGAGUAGUUA